AAUUAAUGAGCUUGUGAAUAAGCAUUUGUUUUGAAAACUUAAAAAAGAAUUAAAUAUUCUAUUAAUUU
rnacentral:tRNA from 1 species